GACGAACGCUGGCGGCGUGCUUAACACAUGCAAGUCGAACGGAAAGGCCCUGCUUUUGUGGGGUGCUCGAGUGGCGAACGGGUGAGUAACACGUGAGUAACCUGCCCUUGACUUUGUGAUAACUUCAGGAAACUGGGGCUAAUACCGGAUAGGAGCUCCUGCUGCAUGGUGGGGGUUGGAAAGUUUCGGCGGUUGGGGAUGGACUCGCGGCUUAUCAGCUUGUUGGUGGGGUAGUGGCUUACCAAGGCUUUGACGGGUAGCCGGCCUGAGAGGGUGACCGGCCACACUGGGACUGAGAGACGGCACAGAUUCCUACGGGAGGCAGCAGAGGGGAAUAUGGAAGAAUGGGCGGAAGACUGAUGCAGCAACGCCGCGGGCGGGAUGACGGCCUUCGGGUUGUAAACAGCUUUAGCCUGUGACGAAGAGUGAGUGACGGUAAUGGGUAAAGAAGCACCGGCUAACUACGUG
rnacentral:rRNA from 1 species